rnacentral:snRNA from 1 species
UUGCUUUGGCAGCACAUAUAUUAAAAUUGGAACAAUACAGAAAAGAUUAGCAUGGCCCCUGCGUAAGGAUGACAUGCAAAUUCGUGAAGUGUUCCAUAUUUUA